rnacentral:rRNA from 1 species
GAUUAACGCUGGCGGCAGGCCUAACACAUACAAGUCGAACGGCAGCACAGAGGAGCUUGCUCCUUGGGUGGCGAGUGGCGGACGGGUGAGGAAUACAUCGGAAUCUACUCUGUCGUGGGGGAUAACGUAGGGAAACUUACGCUAAUACCGCAUACGACCUACGGGUGAAAGCAGGGGAUCUUCGGACCUUGCGCGAUUGAAUGAGCCGAUGUCGGAUUAGCUAGUUGGCGGGGUAAAGGCCCACCAAGGCGACGAUCCGUAGCUGGUCUGAGAGGAUGAUCAGCCACACUGGAACUGAGACACGGUCCAGACUCCUACGGGAGGCAGCAGUGGGGAAUAUUGGACAAUGGGCGCAAGCCUGAUCCAGCCAUACCGCGUGGGUGAAGAAGGCCUUCGGGUUGUAAAGCCCUUUUGUUGGGAAAGAAAUCCAUCUGGUUAAUACCCGGGUGGGAUGACGGUACCCAAAGAAUAAGCACCGGCUAACUUCGUGCCAGCAGCCGCGGUAA